AGACUUCUCCAAGGGUGCACCCAGC
rnacentral:piRNA from 1 species